UACGGGGGGGGCAAGCGUUGUUCGGAAUUACUGGGCGUAAAGGGCGCGUAGGCGGCCUGCUAAGUCACACGUGAAAUCCCCCGGCUCAACCGGGGAACUGCGUGUGAUACUGGCGGGCUUGAAUUCGGGAGAGGGAUGUGGAAUUCCAGGUGUAGCGGUGAAAUGCGUAGAUAUCUGGAGGAACACCGGUGGCGAAGGCGGCAUUCUGGACUGUAACUGACACUGAUGAACGAAAGCCAGGGGAGCAAACGGG
rnacentral:rRNA from 1 species